AGGCAGAGGGAGAGUGCAAAGAUGGUGCCUGCUUGUGCCUCCAAUCCGGAGAGAGUCCCGACAAACUGCUGCAGCUCCCGCAGAUGACUUAAGGUGGCGUGGAAGUGGUAUGCCCAGAUCACCACCGAUAACAGAGCUUUGGCACAAGAAAUCAAGAUAAAACCAGAUCAAGAGAGGUGAAAGUCAAGAGAUGAAGCAUCCAAGCUACAGGUACCUCAGAGCCCCAGUCUUCGACCAGCGGGAGCAGACAUAAAACCACUUCAAA